rnacentral:lncRNA from 1 species
GGCACAGAGACGGAGUAACGGGGCCCCUCGGUGUGCAAGGUGCACGCUGCUACCAUGGGCUGCUGCAUCGGGAAGUUAAUCUGUUCCACCUCGCCGACUACUUUUCCAUAGCCAUGCAUAAGGAAUCGCCAUCCCAGAGCAGACCUCGGCCUGUCCGUGUUGCUUCAACAGAAGUGCAGGUGACCCUGUGGCAGCCAGGACGGGACAAGACACUUUCUGGGACAUCUGACCAGCGAGAGCUGCCCCAUAACCUGCAGCGUUUUAUCCCUUGCAAAACUCUUGCAAUCAGGCACUGCGAAGUGCAUGUCUGCAAGAUCCUCCGAAUGCUCCUGGCAUCUUACAAGGCCCUUGGCUCCAUCCCUUUGGGCGGCACCAGGAUACCAGCCCCUGGCACAGCCUGAUUUGGGGCUGCAGCGAUGAUCCUGCAGGGAGGCAGGACUGCCAGUGAAGCCCACGUGCUCAUUUAUUUCCUCACGAUGCGAUCUGAUUAUGCUGACGGGGAACUGGGCUCCUAGAGCUGCUAUAUCCUGACGUAGCUCCUGGGGCUCAGCAAGGAGCCAGUGACCGAGCGUGUCCCAGCGGCUGAGUGUCCCUCUCUUGCGGUGUUUUGGACCAUCAGGACGGGGCUGGGCAGCCCUGCAGGCAGCGCGACGCUCCAGGGCACCCAGCUCCCACUGCAGCCCCCACCCAGCUUCACAGUUGUCCCCGUCAAUGCCCCGUGUGCUGCAGCUGCUGGGAACCUGCUCUGCAAUGCCCUGACGGAGAGGCUGAGGUGUUGCUCUUGCUGCCAUAAAUUCCCUGGCACUCGGAACAGCAUCCUGAACCCUUCCAACCUCCCUAUCUCCCCCUGCAGAGGCUGUGUCCUUCCCAGCCCAGUGGCUUGUGGCAGAGCUGGGCUCUUUGCUGGGCCCUGGAGGAGCUCCCAGGGCCCUGCUGGGAGGAACGGCUCCAUCCAUGGCUUAUUUUCCUCCUGGCCUCGUCCCUCUCCCCCAUCCUUAGUCCUCCUCCUUUGCUCUCCUGUGAGCCCAGCAGGCAGACUCGUCCCUGCCUUGAUGGAGACCGGAGCUGGGGAAGGAGGCAGCACAAAUUUCCCCUUGUUUCCCUGGCUGCAUCAGCACCUCAGCUCCGCUUUGUGUCCUGAGCAAGGGUGUUUGGGCUCUCCAUCACUACUGUGGCCGUUUCCAUCCUGCUGUGCCCCUCGCCAGGACCAGAUGGCCAAAAGAAAGGGACUGCUCUGCAACACGGAUUUAAUUCAGCAGUGCGACCCCUUCCCUUCUCUCCCUGCUGCUCUUUCUCCCCCUCCACCUCCCUCAUUUCCCUCCCAGGGCUCUCUCCCUCCUUUCCCAUCCCCUCCACCUUCCUCCCCUUUAUUUCCCCACCUCCUCCCCCCCUACACCCACCCCGCGUCCCGGCCCGGCAGCGGAUGA